UUUAACGAACAGUUUUUCAGAUAGCUACGAAGGAAGAAUAUUCAUUUAGUUUCAUGAUUCUGACCCUGAGAGUGUGAUUGUUUACCCUAAUCAUCAAUACAUGUUUCUUCCGGUUAUCUGAAGCUUAAACAAAACAUAACAGUGAAAUAGACGUUAUGUUUCAGGAGCAUAUAUAAUAAAGGUUGUCUAACACAGUGAAAAAUACAGGGUUUUGAACUCUGCCACCUGCAAGUCGACAAAUUGAGAAGAACCAUACAAGAGAAUGUAGACGAUGGGAAGAGGUACACUGUGAAGGUGCUGUUUUUAAGCAUGAGAAAUAACUGGAGUACGAGCAUGUCAAGUGUUGAACUGAAAAGGAAAGUUAUAGAAGAACGAAUUAACUGUUGGACAAGGUGAGCAACAUUUGUAAUAUUCCACUAUCUCAGCAACCUCCAAUUGCAACAGUACCUUUGGAAACUGGAAAAUUGGUUCCCGAUGGGAUUACAUCUUAAUUUCAAUCUUGAUAGUGGAAUAUGUUGCAGAGACAUCUGCCACGCUUUAGAUGUGUUAAAGUUGGACAAGUUAUUACAGAGUAAUGCCAAUUUCCUUACUACUCUUGGAAGACAGCAUAGAGUUGCACUUUGCAUCAGAUCAUUUUCUUUGGCUUGUAUUGUUGGAACUGUACACUUGAGACAUUGCAGCAAGUGGAAAUUGCUACUCUUCAGAUAAUUGAGAAAGUUAUGGAUAGAUUUCAUGACUUGAACCUUGAGGACAAGGUUCUUAAUUGGGAUAGGGCCAGGUUAAUUUGGGAUCCGGGUUGAGUAGUGGGCAUGAAACGUUCCAUCAAAAAGGGUAGUGAUGAUAUGUGAUUUAGGGAUUAUGCAAAUUAUUGAGCAAAAUGUCUAGUCCUCUCAUCCCCUUUCUUUGAGUCUAUGCUUCUCAUCUCCCUUCUAGUUAUCUUCUACAAUAGUUUUCUUUGUUAGUUUCAUUUUCCGUUGUAACUUCGA